rnacentral:rRNA from 1 species
CUGGUGCCAGCAGCCGCGGUAAUUCCAGCUCCAAUAGCGUAUAUUAAAGUUGUUGCAGUUAAAAAGCUCGUAGUUGGAUCUCAGGUCCCGGCUCGCGGUUCACUUCGCGGUGCUUACUGCCCGUCCGGACCUACCCGCCGGUUUUCCCUUGGUGCUCUUCAUUGAGUGUCUCGGGUGGCCGGAACGUUUACUUUGAAAAAAUUAGAGUGUUCAAAGCAGGCGCUUCGCCUGAAUAAUGGUGCAUGGAAUAAUGGAAUAGGACCUCGGUUCUAUUUUGUUGGUUUUCGGAACUCGAGGUAAUGAUUAAGAGGGACAGACGGGGGCAUUCGUAUUACGGUGUUAGAGGUGAAAUUCUAGGAUCGCCGUAAGACGAACUACUGCGAAAGCAUUUGCC